GGCUCGCCUCCUGGAGCAGGUCCACAGAGCCCAGCCUGCGGGCGGCCGAGGGGGGAAAGCCGGGGCUGUUGCCCUACCCCGCUGUUAGCGUUACGUUCCUGCUCGGUGCUAUGUUUUAUUCGUUCUUUCUAUUAAACCUCUUAAAUUCCAGCUCAGGUCCCUCCCUCAUGAAGCCUUCCUGGAUUAUUUGAACCUUCAACAAUCUCCUUCUUUCAGCUCACUCAGCAGGUAACGUAGCCCCCUAUUUGGAGCCGUCUUCUCCCUUUGUCCAGCUGCCUCUAAGGAUGCGUCUGGACGGAUCUCCACAGCUGGACAAGGGACUUCAACUCACUGUCCGGGACUGAACAUCUCCCGUCUCCCACGGCACCGGGCACACGCUGGGCUCUUCCUGCUGACCUCAGGGGAGCUGGGUUCAGAUGGCAGGAAAACGAACCUGGCUUUGCCACGCUCCAGUUCACCUGCCUCCUUGCACACCUGAGUUCAGGAGCCUCGUCCCUCCACCAGAGGGCGUGGCAGCAUGGAUGCCAGCCGCACCUGGGCUCUGCCAGGUGUUCCGACCGCAGCCCUUUGGAAGGUUCUGUCCCGCGUCCCCUCGCUGACGGACCCCAGGGCCACGUGACAUGCCUGCCCACCGCAGACUCAGCAGACGGGCUGAAUGGAGGAAGGUCAUUCCCAUGGCGCGUCCCCGAGACCCGACUCCUGGUGGAGACCCUGCCAGCAGCACGGCCCCCAGACCGUGGCGAGCAGGAACCAGGCGUCCAGAGCCGAUGCGAAAGGCCAGCAAGUUCUCAGCACCAUGGAAGGCCCAGACUUGCCUGGGAGCGGCCCCCAGGACGGGGCAGAAAGGAGAGAGCUGACAGCACGACCUUGGAGCCCAGGGCUGCGGACAGGGGGUGCGCAGGGUGGGCCUUCUCUUGCUCAGCUGGCCUGCUCCCCUGCCCACAUUUCUCAGCUCUGCUCCCUCGGAUGCCCCCGCGCUGUCGUCCUCAGUGACCGUGGCUCCAGCGUCUGGAAGCAGCCCCUCCAUGCUGGUUCUGCUCAGGCCGUGCCCUCUGCCCAGAAUUCCCUUCUCUAGCUCCCUGCUCUUCUUUCUUGAGCCUCUGCAUGGACCUCACCAUCCCUCCGUCCCCCAAUUCUGUUCCUGACUUUCCCCUCGGGGGUCCACCCUGGAUUGUAAGGACCUGCCCCCCUUUUCCGCUGUGUGCGGUCCGUUUGAAGUUGGAGCACUUCCUAUUGUUACGAGAUGGCUGUGGUGGCUCCAAGCGUCACCUCCUCUCCUGACAGUGUCCCUAGAAGACCGGGAGGAAAGAGGCUUCCCUUUGAAUGUCUGUCCCUCGCAGAGGGCUGCAGACAUUCCCUAGAAGCAGCCUUCCUGUGUCUCAUUGUCACAAGCGGGUCAAGCGGCUGCCCUGGACAGGGACAGGGCGGGCAGAGGAGGGAAGGAUGGAGGAGAAAGUGGAGGGCAGGGAGGCGGUGACGGGGGGCGGAAGGGCGCGCGGCCGGAUGGGCUAUUUUGCCUGGGUCUCCCGUCAGGCCUGCUUCGUCGGGAUGAGAUGGUAAACUUUAUGGGGAUUGUGACCAGGACGCCGGCAGGCAGGAGGCCUGGAUGCCCGCUCUGGUCUGGACUUGAGGAGACACUGCCAGAAAGGCCGCGGGUCCGCCCAGGCCGUCGGCCUCUCCACUUCCCGGGCCUUCCCGCCGGAGCCCUCACGCUCCAGCUCAGACCUGCCCCCCGGCACGCGGGCAGAUCCACUCCACAGCGGGAGCCGUCAAGGCAAGGUCCCCUCUCCCAGGCUCUCUGGUGGUUGGGGGGUCUUCUGACCCAGUUCCCUCCAGGAAGACACAAGGGAAACUGCUUCCGGCUCAGUGCAAAAAGGACCCCUUGGCCCAUAAUCUGCUUUGGACGCGGCCGUGAGACAGGACAUGAUGCCUGCGUCUCGGGCGCCGUCCUGUAGCCUGAGGACGAAAUGCCAACAGGCUGAGGACGGACACGCCUGGGCCUUGAUAACAUCAUUCAGCCACAAGCCUGGAACUCACUGUGUGCUUCCCCAGACGGAGGUAAUUACCCAGCUUGUGUGUAUGGAGCUGAGACAUCGCCCCGAGCCUCCUUUGGGAGUGGCUGCAACGCUGGGAUCGGAGCCGUCACAGAGACUCAGAAAUCAGGAUGGCGGGGAAGGGGGGUGCGUUUUGUGAAGACGGGCUUGUGAGAAAUGCCAACUUUCUAUUGCUUAUGUCAGGUUGGACGUGUGCCCAGCCCUCCCAAACUGCACAGGACCGAAAUCAAGGGUCCCCUCCAGGAGGCGUCGCAGUUGGCGGUGGAGGGAGACUCCAGCGGCGAAGCCGACGUCAAAGACUCGGGAAGCGCAGGAGGCGUGGACCGAGUCCUUUACCCGCGUCCUGUUCGGGGUAACUCAUCUGAAAGCCCACUCUUCCCUGAAUAUCUGCUCUCUGAGGACGGGUGGUGUCUCCAUGACACCAUCCACUUAAGAAGAUGUUGUUGAGCCCAGAUGAAGGCCGAGAUCUGGUCCCAGGAAACGGAGGCCCAACAGCAAGGAAACGCACCCGGACCCUGUCCUCCAGCGGCCUCCACCUGGGCGUAGAGCUGGACAAGCCCGCUGGCCGCUGAACUUGAAUGCGACCAGGAAACCCGCAUCUUUAGAGAAAGCUGGCAGAUCCCACGGUGGCCGUGAGAUCCAGUUAACGUCCCCAGUGAUGAGACACGUGGGUCUUACCGCCACUCUGGGGGGGGGUGAGCCUUGCUUCUGGGGAUCGCCUGGCAAGCGUGCAGCAGGUCAGCGGAUCAGGAGCAAACUUCAGAGGGGCCCACACAGGAGAGCGGUCAACGGAAUACCUGACCUGUGCACGCUUCUGAACGUGCUGUGGUCAUAGGCGCCUGGGAAAGACUGAGGAACUGUCCUCAGCUGGAGGGCACCAGCAGCCGUGACAACCAAAGGCAACACGGGGCCCUGGGCUGGAUCUCGAGAAGAGAAAGGACAUCAGCAGGAAAAGAUGCAAUCUUCAUAGCGUCUGUCCUACCCGGGUUAGUGUCUUGGUUUUGCUGGUGUGGCUGCAGGUGUGUCAGAUGUGGGCACUACAGGAUGUUAGGUACAGACGAGUGAAAACUUUCCUUGUGAUUUUUGAGGCUUUUCUGUAAAUCUAAAAUUAUUUCACAAUAAAAGGUUUUAAUAAUACA
rnacentral:lncRNA from 1 species